rnacentral:lncRNA from 1 species
CCGGGCCGGUCCGUUCGGAGACGGCGCCUCGGGUCCCCAGGGCGCGCGUGGGCCGCUGCGAAUCCGGCUCCUGAGUGCGAAACUUGGGUCUGACUCUCACGCAGAGGCAGUCGGGCGAUGAAACGUGCAGAGCCGCGGCGCCGGGCUUCCCCACUGAAACACACCCUGCGCAGCUCAGUGUGGGACCCAGGGAGCAAAGACUCCACCAAGCUCCAGUGAAGAUUAAGACAGGAGAGCUCUCCACAGCCGUGUUUGAACGGCACCGUCAUUUAACCACCUUCCCACACGACCAAUUGCAGUUAGUCGCGGCUGUUCAUCUUCUGAAGCCUCCAGACUCUAAAUCCUUACCCAGAUUGAUUACCGCACUAAAUCUUGAUUGUAUGAAGCAUAGAACUUAAUUAUUUUGGUCUCAUUUAUCAGUCAGCAAUGUUUAGUGUUGCCAAGAUAAUUAUGUCACUGAAAUAUGCCUGACUUUAAAAAUACAUCGAAAAAGGUCCUUUUAAACUUGUCUCGUCAUAAAGGGGUGGGGGGGGGAAAUCCGCGUGAAGCCAUAAUUUCACUGUUCUGAAGCCCUCGAGCCGUUUGUGUUUAUUGAGUUUAUUCUUCCACAUGAAGAAAGAACCAUUGUUUUGUUGUCUAAGAGCUGAAUGAUGAUGGAAAGUAAGAAAAGGAGCCGCUUAAAUGUUGUUUUCUGUAUUUGAGGAAAUUCUAGGACUUAAGUAGUGACUAUUUUCUUAAAGACGUACAAUCACUUUUUAAAAGGAUAUUGAAAAAAACCCCAGAUUUUAGGAUAAGAAAUGUUGUUCCUAAAUAUUCAUUCAAAGUAGGUAUGUAUGAGCACAUGUAUUUUUAAACCAGUCUCAAAAUGUUUUCAUCAUUUUAUAGAAUGAUGAAAUGUUGCUAAAUGAUUGUUAUUAAAACAUUGGACCUUCAUCUAAUCUAAGUGUACUAGACUGUCUUUUUGCGAGUGGUUUAAUUGUAAUAGCCUGUCUGUUGAGAUUAAAAAGAACAUCAUUGAUGUCAUGGUGUGCUUUGCAUUUUAAAAUAGCAGCUAAUGAAUUACAAACAUUCAUUACUCUACAACCACUUGUGAAAUUUCUCAGGACCCCCAAAUAGAGAAUUAUUUGUACUAUAUACUGUCAUUCAUUCCCUUGUUGGAUGUAUGCUGAUCCCUU